UACGGAGGGUGCAAGCGUUAUCCGGAUUCACUGGGUUUAAAGGGUGCGUAGGCGGGUAGGUAAGUCAGUGGGGAAAUCUUCGAGCUUAACUCGGAAACUGCCUUUGAUACUAUCUAUCUUGAAUAUUGUGGAGGUAAGCGGAAUAUGUCAUGUAGCGGUGAAAUGCUUAGAUAUGACAUAGAACACCUAUUGCGAAGGCAGCUUACUACGCAUAUAUUGACGCUGAGGCACGAAAGCGUGGGGAUCAAACAGG
rnacentral:rRNA from 1 species